rnacentral:rRNA from 1 species
ACGAACGCUGGCGGCGCGCCUAACACAUGCAAGUCGAACGAGCGAGAGAGAGCUUGCUUUCUCGAGCGAGUGGCGAACGGGUGAGUAACGCGUGAGGAACCUGCCUCAAAGAGGGGGACAACAGUUGGAAACGACUGCUAAUACCGCAUAAGCCCACAGGUCGGCAUCGACCAGAGGGAAAAGGAGCAAUCCGCUUUGAGAUGGCCUCGCGUCCGAUUAGCUAGUUGGUGAGGUAACGGCCCACCAAGGCGACGAUCGGUAGCCGGACUGAGAGGUUGAACGGCCACAUUGGGACUGAGACACGGCCCAGACUCCUACGGGAGGCAGCAGUGGGGAAUACUGCACAAUGGGGGAAACCCUGAUGCAGCGACGCCGCGUGGAGGAAGAAGGUCUUCGGAUUGUAAACUCCUGUUGUUGAGGAAGAUAAUGACGGUACUCAACAAGGAAGUGACGGCUAACUACGUGCCAGCAGCCGCCGUAACAC